UACAACCAAAUCAUGUUUAAAACACAGGUUCUCAUAUGAUCACUGAAGUUAAGUAUUAUUGCACCUGAUUAGUACUGAGAUGGGUGAUCACUUGGGAAUACCUGGUGCCGUAAU